rnacentral:rRNA from 1 species
UACGGGGGGGGCAAGCGUUGUUCGGAAUUACUGGGCGUAAAGGGCUCGUAGGCGGCCAACUAAGUCAGACGUGAAAUCCCUAGGCUCAACCUAGGAACUGCGUCUGAUACUGGAUGGCUUGAAUCCGGGAGAGGGAUGCAGAAUUCCAGGUGUAGCGGUGAAAUGCGUAGAUAUCUGGAGGAAUACCGGUGGCGAAGGCGGCAUCCUGGACCGGCAUUGACGCUGAGGAGCGAAAGCCAGGUGAGCAAACGGG